GGGUCAGUAGGUUGGUCGUGCCACCGGUACGUACUGGUCUCACUGAUUCCUCCUUCCUGAAGAACCGUAAUGCCAUUAAUUUGGUGUUACGGGGAAACAGGACUGUUACCUUGAAAAAAUUAGAGUGUUUAAAGCAAGCUAACGCUUGAAUACAUUAGCAUGGAAUAAUGAAAUAGGACGAUCGAUCCUAUUUUGUUGGUUUCUAGGAUUGACGUA
rnacentral:rRNA from 1 species